GUGGGCCGGUACCAAAUGGGCCGGUCUGGUCGCGACCAAGAAAAAUUAUAUAUAUAUAUAUAUAUNNNNNCAAUAUAUAUUUAUAUAAUUUUUCUUUGGUCGCGACCAGACCGGCCCAUUUGGUACCGGCCCACCGG
rnacentral:pre_miRNA from 1 species